GCUGGGACAUAUAAAAACAUUUCAAUGUAAUAAUAGACCAACAUUCCUAAUUUUAGGGGAAUCAGUCCAAAUCACUACUAUAAGGGGUCCUAAUUAAAUGGGGUUUGUCUUAUUGACAUUCUUAUAGAUCUUGAAUUAUAUACUGAUAAUUUUGCUGUUAACACAUUAGAGGCAAAACAAGGUACUCGAAAAAUGUGUAAAACCCUCGUUUUUUAAGGGCAAUAACUCCUAUACUCCAAUAAGUAGUUAUUUGAUAGUAAUGGUUAUAUUGACAUUUGUGUCAGAUCUAAUCAUUCAAAGACUAUAGCUCCUUGAGGAAUAAUCAGAUAAUUUUGCUGCUAACAGAAAGUAGGUA
rnacentral:lncRNA from 1 species